GUACGAAGGGGAGCUAGCGUUGCUCGGAAUUACUGGGCGUAAAGCGCACGUAGGCGGAUCGUUAAGUCGGGGGUGAAAUCCUGGAGCUCAACUCCAGAACUGCCUUCGAUACUGGCGAUCUCGAGUUCGGGAGAGGUGAGUGGAACUGCGAGUGUAGAGGUGAAAUUCGUAGAUAUUCGCAAGAACACCAGUGGCGAAGGCGGCUCACUGGCCCGAUACUGACGUGAGGUGACGAAAG
rnacentral:rRNA from 1 species